rnacentral:rRNA from 1 species
AGCGAACGCUGGCGGCAGGCUUAACACAUGCAAGUCGAGCGGGCACUUCGGUUUCAGCGGCAGACGGGUGAGUAACACGUAGGAACGUACCCUUUGGUUCGGAAUAACGCUGGGAAACUAGCGCUAAUACCGGAUACGCCCUCUUGGGGAAAGGCGUGCUGCCGAAGGAUCGGCCCGCGUUUGAUUAGCUAGUUGGUGGGGUAAUGGCCUACCAAGGCGACGAUCAGUAGCUGGUCUGAGAGGAUGAUCAGCCACACUGGGACUGAGACACGGCGCAGACUCCUACGGGAGGCAGCAGUGGGGAAUAUUGGACAAUGGGCGCAAGGCUGAUGCAGCCAUGCCGCGUGAGUGAUGAAGGCCUUAGGGUUGUAAAGCUCUUUUGUCCGGGACGAUAAUGACGGUACCGGAAGAAUAAGCCCCGGCUAACUACGUG